AGUGAACGCUGGCGGUAUGCCUAACACAUGCAAGUCGAACGGAAACACGAUGAGCUUGUGCCCCUAAGGUUAGCGGCGGACGGAUGAGUAAGAAGUGGAUCACAUACCUCUAUGACUGGGAUGACAUCGGGGAACAGCUGCUACUAACGGCUCAUAUAUCGAACCGCUUGAUUCAAUAGUGCUAGACAGUUUUCGCGACUCUAUUAGCUGGUGCCGGGCCGCAUUAGUUAGUUGGUAAGGUAACGGCUUAACAAGGAAACGAUGCGUAGCCGACCUGAGAGGGUGAUCGGCCACACUGGAACUGAGACACGGUCCAGACUCCUACGGGAGGCAGCAGUAGGGAAUCUUGCGCAAUGGGCGAAAGCCUGACGCAGCCAUACCGCGUGAGUGAAGAAGGUCUUCGGAUCGUAAAACUCUGUUGUUAGGGAAGAAAAAAAGUGUAAUUAACUAGGCACGUCCUGACGGUACCCAAAGAAUAAGCCACGGCUAACUACGUG
rnacentral:rRNA from 1 species